rnacentral:rRNA from 1 species
AAGAUGCUGCGUUCCCGCGGCUAGACGGAAAGACCCCGUGAACCUUUACUACAGCUUCACAGUGAACUUUGAAUUGGCUUGUGUAGGAUAGCUGGGAGGCUUUGAAGCGAUGACGCCAGUUGUCGUGGAGCCAACCUUGAAAUACCAGCCUGGUCAAUUUGGGGUUCUAACUCAGGUCCAUUAUCUGGAUCGAGGACACUGUGUGGUGGGUAGUUUGACUGGGGCGGUCUCCUCCCAAAGAGUAACGGAGGAGCACGAAGGUCGGCUAAUCCUGGUCGGACAUCAGG